GGAGAGCUGUCCGAGUGGCUGAAGGAGCACGCCUGGAAAGUGUGUAUACGGCAACGUAUCGAGGGUUCGAAUCCCUCGCUCUCCGCCA
rnacentral:tRNA from 2 species